GACGAACGCUGGCGGCGUGCUUAACACAUGCAAGUCGAACGGAAAGGCCCUGCUUUUGUGUGGUGCUCGAGUGGCGAACGGGUGAGUAACACGUGAGUAACCUGCCCUUGACUUUGGGAUAACUUCAGGAAACUGGGGCUAAUACCGGAUAGGAGCUCCUGCUGCAUGGUGGGGGUUGGAAAGUUUCGGCGGUUGGGGAUGGACUCGCGGCUUAUCAGCUUGUUGGUGGGGUAGUGGCUUACCAAGGCUUUGACGGGUAGCCGGCCUGAGAGGGUGACCGGCCACAUUGGGACUGAGAUACGGCCCAGACUCCUACGGGCGGCAGCAGUGGGGAAUAUUGCACAAUGGGCGGAAGCCUGAUGCAGCAACGCCGCGUGCGGGAUGACGGCCUUCGGGUUGUAAACCGAUUUCGCCUGUGACGAAGAGUGAGUGACGGUAAUGGGUAAAGAAGCACCGGCUAACUACGUG
rnacentral:rRNA from 1 species